CUGGGUUGGAUGAGUGGCGAACGGGUGAGUAACACGUGAGUAACCUGCCCUCUUCUUUGGGAUAACGGUCGGAAACGGCUGCUAAUACCGGGUAUUCACUGUCCUUCGCAUGGGGGGUGGGUGGAAAGGUUUUUUCUGGUGGGGGAUGGGCUCGCGGCCUAUCAGCUUGUUGGUGGGGUGAUGGCUUACCAAGGCUUUGACGGGUAACCGGCCUGAGAGGGUGACCGGUCACAUUGGGACUGAGAUACGGCCCAG
rnacentral:rRNA from 1 species